GAUCCUGGGCUCAGGAUGAACGCUGGCGGCGUGCCUAACACAUGCAAGUCGAACGGAGUCGUUUUGGAAAAUCCUUCGGGAUUGGAAUUCUCGACUUAGUGGCGGACGGGUGAGUAACGCGUGAGCAAUCUGCCUUCAAGAGGGGGAUAACAGUCGGAAACGGCUGCUAAUACCGCAUAAAGCAUCAAAUUCGCAUGUUUUUGAUGCCAAAGGAGCAAUCCGCUUUUA
rnacentral:rRNA from 1 species